rnacentral:rRNA from 1 species
GGACUACAAGGGUUUCUAAUCCGGAUCGCUCCCCACGCUUUCGCUCCUGAGUGUCAGGACCAGUCCAGGAUGCCGCCUUCGCCGCUGGUGUUCCUCCGGAUCUCUACGCAUUCCACCACUACACCCGGAAUUCCGCAUCCCCCUACUGGCCUCCAGUUCGACCGUAUCGCACGACCCUCCCCAGUUGAGCCGGGGUCUUUCACGCACGACGCAUCGAACCACCUGCGAGCGCUUUACGCCCAAUAAAUCCGGACAACGCUUGCCCCCUACGUAUUACCGCGGCUGCUGGCAC